UAACCUGCCCAAGAGACUGGGAUAACACCUGGAAACAGAUGCUAAUACCGGAUAACAACACUAGACGCAUGUCUAGAGUUUAAAAGAUGGUUCUGCUAUCACUCUUGGAUGGACCUGCGGUGCAUUAGCUAGUUGGUAAGGUAACGGCUUACCAAGGCAAUGAUGCAUAGCCGAGUUGAGAGACUGAUCGGCCACAUUGGGACUGAUACACGGCCCAAACUCCUACGGGAGGCAGCAGCG
rnacentral:rRNA from 1 species